GCAGCUGUGGUCCAGUGGUAAGACAUCACGUUGCCAUCGUGAAGACGCCAGUUCGAUUCUGGUCAGCUGCU
rnacentral:tRNA from 1 species